GACGAACGCUGGCGGCGUGCUUAACACAUGCAAGUCGAACGAAAAGAGGGAAAGAGCCUGCUCUUUCCGGAAUUGAGUGGCAAACGGGUGAGUAACACGUAAACAACCUGCCUUCAGGAUGGGGACAACAGACGGAAACGACUGCUAAUACCGAAUAAGUUCCAAGAGCCGCAUGGCUCAUGGAAGAAAAGGUGGCCUCUACCUGUAAGCUAUCGCCUGAAGAGGGGUUUGCGUCUGAUUAGCUGGUUGGAGGGGUAACGGCCCACCAAGGCGACGAUCAGUAGCCGGGCUGAGAGGAUGAACGGCCACACUGGAACUGAGACACGGUCCAGACUCCUACGGGAGGCAGCAGUGGGGAAUCUUCCGCAAUGGGCGAAAGCCUGACGGAGCAACGCCGCGUGAGUGAUGACGGCCUUCGGGUUGUAAAACUCUGUGAUCCGGGACGAAAAGGCAGAGUGCGAAGAACAAACUGCAUUGACGGUACCGGAAAAGCAAGCCACGGCUAACUACGUG
rnacentral:rRNA from 1 species